AAAUCAUGGGUGCUUAUAGAACAAGAGUUCAUAAAAUCUCAAGUCUCAAGUAGGGAUUAAUAAUCCAUAAUUCAAUCUCAAGUUAAAACUCCUCAAAAGCAUAAUAGAUAUCAUAUAGAUUCAUAACUCAUUUGGAAAUCUGGAAAUUUCAGCAAUUUAUUUCAAAAUUUCAAUAUACUCAUAUACUUCAAUGUUUCAAACAUUUCAACUAUUAACUUCUCAA
rnacentral:lncRNA from 1 species